CAGCGCCGCGGUAAUACGUAGGGUGCGAGCGUUAAUCGGAUUUACUGGGCGUAAAGCGUGCGCAGGCGGCCCGUUAAGACAGGUGUGAAAUCCCUGGGCUCAACCUAGGAAUUGCGCUUGUGACUGGCGGGCUCGAGUACGGUAGAGGGGGGUGGAAUUCCUGGUGUAGCAGUGAAAUGCGUAGAGAUCAGGAGGAACACCGAUGGCGAAGGCAGCCCCCUGGGCCUGUACUGACGCUCAUGCACGAAAGCGUGGGGAGCAAACAGGAUUAGAUACCCUGGUAGUCCACGCCCUAAACGAUGGGUACUAGCCGUUUGGUGCGCGAUAGCGCUGAGUGGCGAAGCUAACGCGUGAAGUACCCCGCCUGGGGAGUACGGCCGCAAGGUUGAAACUUAAAGGAAUUGGCGGG
rnacentral:rRNA from 1 species